rnacentral:rRNA from 1 species
UACAGAGGUCCCAAGCGUUGUUCGGUUUCACUGGGCGUAAAGGGUGCGUAGGCGGCGUGGUAAGUCUGAUGUGAAAUCUCCGAGCUUAACUCGGAAACUGCAUCGGAUACUGCUUCGCUCGAGGGUUGGAGGGGGGACUGGAAUACUUGGUGUAGCAGUGAAAUGCGUAGAUAUCAAGUGGAACACCAGUGGCGAAGGCGGCUAUCUGGACAGAGUCUGACGCUGAGGCGCGAAAGCUAGGGGAGCAAACAGG